AGACCCGAAACCCGGUGAUCUAGCCAUGGGCAGGUUGAAGGUUGGGUAACACUAACUGGAGGACCGAACCGACUAAUGUUGAAAAAUUAGCGGAUGACCUGUGGCUGGGGGUGAAAGGCCAAUCAAACCGGGAGAUAGCUGGUUCUCCCCGAAAGCUAUUUAGGUAGCGCCUCGUGAAUUCAUCUCCGGGGGUAGAGCACUGUUUCGGCUAGGGGGCCAUCCCGGCUUACCAACC
rnacentral:rRNA from 1 species